AGUAUAAUGCRGCAUCGACCAUGUCGAAUAAAAUUCUAGAUAGAAUUAUGAUAAUGACAUUAUCUAUCUACAUGUCUUGACCAAGUCACGUGCCAGCAGUCGCGGUAAUACGUGGUAGACUAGUGUUAUUCAUCUUUAUUUGGUUUAAAGGGUACUUAGACGGAAAAUUAAGCCCCAAAAUGGUACUAAUUUUCUAGAGUUUUAUGCGAGAGGGGGUGUAUUGAAGAGUGUAGAGAUGAAAUUUUUUAAUACCUUCUGGAACAGUCAACGGCGAAGGCAACCCUUUAUGUAAAAACUGACGUUGAAGGACGAAGGCUUGGGGCACCAACAGGAUUAGAUACCCUAGCAGUCCUAGCAGAAAAUUAUGAAUGUCAUAGGUUAGAUUAAAAUUUUUGUCUAUAAAUGAAAGUGUAAGCAUUCCACCUCAAGAGUAAUGUGGCAACGCAGAAACUGAAAUCAUUAGACCGUUUCUGAAACCAGUAGUGAAGUAUGUUGUUUAAAUUGAUGAUCCACAAAAAACCUUACCACAAUUUGUAUAUUAUUUAUAAUACAAGAGUUGCACGGCUGUCUUCAGUUAAUGUCGUGAGAUCUUGGUUAGUUCCAUUAAUUAACGUAAACCCUUACUUUAUUUUUAUUAUAAAGUAGUUCACCGCUAUAUUGGAUUAGAUAACAGGGAAAUAAGACAAGUCAUCAUGACCUUAAUAUUGUGGGCU
rnacentral:rRNA from 1 species